rnacentral:rRNA from 1 species
CAUCCCUGCCGAACAACGAACCCCGGCGCGGUCCGCGCCAAGGAACUUUAACGAAAGAGUGCCUCCGGCCGCCUCGGAAACGGUGUGCGUGCGGGAGGUGAAUCUUGUCUAGAACUAUAACGACUCUCGGCAACGGAUAUCUCGGCUCUCGCAUCGAUGAAGAACGUAGCGAAAUGCGAUACUUGGUGUGAAUUGCAGAAUCCCGCGAAUCAUCGAGUCUUUGAACGCAAGUUGCGCCCGAAGCCACCUGGCCGAGGGCACGUCUGCCUGGGUGUCACGCAUCGUUGCCCCCAACCCCAUCUCCUUGCAAAGGGACGAGGGGGCCUGUGGGGCAGAAAUUGGCCUCCCGUGAGCUCAUGCAUGCGGUUGGCCUAAAAGCGAGUCCUCGGCGACGCGCACCACGACAAUCGGUGGUUGUCAAACCCUCGUGUCCCGUCGUGCGUGCCGCGUCGCUCAUCGUGUGCUCCUUGACCCUGCUGUGUCGCGCUAGCGACGUUUCCAACGCGACCCCAGGUCAGGCGGGACUACCCGCUGAA